GCAGUUGAUAGGGUGGCUACUAGCAACAUUGACGGCAUGGACCUAUAUUCCUCUCUGCUUGCCUUGUUCCUUCUUCUGCGUUGGUACUCAUCUCUGCUCGUAGGAGCUGUGCUCGCGUUCUUCUCUAGUCGGAGUCUUCUACUCACAUGCUUAGUCUCUUCGCCUCUGAAGUCUGAAGCCUUGUCCCCUUGGGUGCUCUCGUGCUUGUUCGUCAACUCUCAUGGUUGCCAGAGAACAUCGCGAGUCACUUCAGUUGAAUGUUGAUAGACUGUGUUAAAGCAGGGCAAAGAUUGCUGUCAAGCUAAAAUAUUGAGAUACGUGCUUUAUCCUCCACAAUAAGCGACCAAGGAAAAAAGAUCGAUGCAAUCCUGUCUAUUGUUUCAUCUGGACCCAGAUCUGUUGCUCAUCAUGAUGAUGAUGCUAAUG